GUGGUGGUGGUGAUCUCCAAGGUUUUCUAGCCACCCAAAACUCACACACAAUUACUUCCUAAUACACCACAGCGGAGAAUAACACACACACACACACACACAUCCUUUUCUUGGAAAAAAUAAAUCCAACACCCACCUAUGGUGGGCGGCGACUACAGCAGCACAGGAAACGGGCGGCAGCAGCGGCCAUUCGCGACAACAAUGUUGUCUUCUGCGUCAGCCUCCAUGGUCGGCGGCCAUGGUGGUUCUUCAUGAGCUCCAGCCGACAGAAAGUCACACACACCCACGCAACUACAUCACAACCCACGAUCCAGCCUCCGUUUCACGGUAGCGACGACCCAAAAAUGCUUUCAAGAACACGGGAGGAGGAGGGACGGUAGCAGCAGAACAACAGCGCCUACGACGACACAAUUCUCACUGGGGAGGGCACAUUGGCGAUUGUUCGGUGGUUUUUCCUCAAUUACACACGCCGCCCAACAGAAACGAUGGUGGUGCAAGCGGUGGUAUUCGACAGCAAGGGAUGAGGGGCAAUAAGGUGGCGGCGGAGGGCUCUAAUGACCGGAGAUGGUGAAUAAGGUAGAUGGUGGCGCCGGACACGAAAUGGGAGAGUGGCGGCUGUUUCAUUCCUUAGGUUUAGGGUUUCAUAACGUGUAUAAAUACAUCCGAUACCCAUAAAUAUUUUGCCAUAAUGGCAGGGUAGGCCCCUGCAAUCCAAUUUCCUUUUAAUAUUGGGCCAUAUAUUACACUUUACACCCCACAUCUGAAAUCCUUUACAUUAUAAGUUUAGAAUUUACUUUUAGCCCCUUACUCCAUAAAAUCUUUUCAACCUUAAUCCAAUGACUUUAAAAUACUUAAUAAAUUAAUCCGAAAAUGGUAUUUUUAGUCCCUUAAACUUUCAAUUAUGACUUUUAACCCCCGAACUGACUUCUUGCUACACUAUUCCGCUUUUAGGGCUAUUAUGUAUUUAUUACUUUAUUUAUUCAUUAAAUAAAUAAACGGGGUAUUACACGUAGCGAUGUCCGAUCUUCUUCUAAUCAAGUGAGUGUGUGGUUACUUUCUUCUAACACAUAAGUAUGAAGUAUUUGCUAUGAAAUACGUGCUAUGUGUUUAUAUAUUGUGGUUUAUUUGAGAUGUUGGUGGAAUGGAUGAACUAUAUAGGUUUUAAUGAGUUAAACUGUAUAUGUAAUUUGUAACUACAAAUAUGUGGUGUAUGACAUGGGUAGAUGAGAUCCGUGAGUAUGGAUUAGACCAAGAGGUUAGUUUUAGAUCCGGGAGUAUGGAUCAGGUAAAGAGAUAAAACUUGUUAUUAGUCCAGGAGUAUGGAUUAAGACUAAGUUAAUUGUCCCUAGUCCGGGAGUAUGGAUUGGGCAUAGUUACAGAUCCGGGAGUAUGGAUCGGUUCAGGAUUAAGGUAUAGUUAAUUGUCCCUAUUCCGGGAGUAUGGAUUGGGUACAAUUAUUGAUCCGGGAGUAUGGAUCAGAUCAGAAGGUUAGUUUUAGAUCUGUGAGUAUGGAUCAGGUAGUUUUAGAUCCGUGAGUAUGGAUCAGGUAGUUUUAGAUCCGUGAGUAUGGAUCAGGUGAAAGGGUUAGUGUUAGAUCCUUGAGUAUGGAUCGGGUGAAAAGGUUAGUUUUAGAUCCGUGAUUAGGGAUCAGGUAAAGAGGAAAAUUUUAGAUACGAGAGUUUAGAUCGUGUCGUUGUGAGGAUCGAUGGGGUGGGAUAAAAGUUGCCUUUAUAUGGUGAAAUUGUACAAGUUUGAAUGUUCUAUAUUUAUAAAUACAUGAUAUAACAUUGUGGGAUGAAAACCCUAUAUGCUCACCAGGCUCCCAAGCCUGACCCACUCAGUUUUCUUUGUAUCACAAGUAUCGAUACAAAUACAUAUUUCACAAAGAGAUUUAAAGGAGGUAUAAAUCAUUAGUGUAAUUGAAUGUAAGUUUUGCUUAUGCUUAUAUGUCUGUAUCGGAACAUGACAUCCCGAGGUUUUAUUAUUAAAUGAAAAUACAUUCUCUUUGAGAAAUGUUUUGAUAAGUUAUUAUCAUAACUUGUUUUGGGAACAAAUUUCGCAACCGUUUCCUUUAAAAGAUUACUCUGAUUUUAAAAACAAAGCAUAAACAAAUCGGUCUUUUCUGGCCAUGAAAUUGGGGAUGUCACAGAUGAGACUCAUGGAGACUGUAUCGAGAUUUUCUGAGCCAAAGCUUCAUCCGGGAUUGUCGAAGAAUUCUCAUUCGAAGGAACAAGAAAUGAAGAUUAUUCUUUGAACAUUCAAUCUUUCAACCCCAGAAGCAAGGUGAAGUUGUACUUGAAGAUUAUGUGACAGAUUGCAUUGAACCCUCCUCAAUCAAUUUGUUGUUAUCUAUGUACCUACUGAAGUGAUCCAGAAAAUUCAUUCUCUUUGAUAUUAUCUUUGAAGAUUCUCAAGUUGAAAGCGCCAAUUUUCAAGAAUCUCUACAUGAAGCCUCCACACCCAACGUGCGUUUAACGUCAAAUUUUGAAGAGAAGCCCCAAUGUUCAAGAUGAAGUCACUCACGUAACUCUUCUUCUCUCUAGUUUAUCUCUCUAGAACACCUUGAUUUACACACUCACUCUUCUUCAAAAUUGGCUUGACAUAUCAAUUUAAUCCACUUGAUGGUGCUGAAUUCCAAUCAAGUGGAUGAUGCAAGAUAGAAUGGAGAAGAGGGAGAAGAAGAACUUGAUGAAUCUUCAAUGUAUUGAUAAUAUGAAUGAUAAUCCUUACACAAGAUUCACACACACACUAUGUUGGUGAUUUGUUAUCAUCAAUGUUAUUUAAGUGUAAUAGGAUUACUUUGUUGACUAAAAAUGAUCUUGAUAAAUAUUAAACAAGUAAGGAAGGUGUGGGAGUACACACUUGUUUAAGUUCGAUCAUGUAUGAAAGUAUACUGUCAUUUAGGGGCGAAGCCCCUGAACGAACGGGGGUCCGGGGGCAGCGCCCCUGGGAGCGGGUUCUAAGGGACAGAGCCCCUGGCUAGGGUCGAGCUGCCAGGUCAGCGCGAGAAAUUUUUAUUUGAGUUAUAUUGCUAUAUUAAAAAUGCAUCAGAAAAUCCAAAUUUUGAAUAUUUGACCCGGUUUUGACUUUGCAUUAAUCCUUAUACAAAACCUGGAUUUAUAACAGUUUUUACUAUUGAGAAAACUGUUAUAUGACAGUUUUUUAGAUAAGGAAGGUUUAUAACCAAUUUUAGUCACUUUUCUGGUACUCACGAAAAUUACACCAUCUCUUUCUCUCUUUCUUUUCUCUCUGAUUUUAUCUGAGUCUUAUCCAAUAGAGGAUUUGGGUGUACCACCCAAAUACUACGAUUUGAAAGUGAUUAUCACGAUUCUCAAAUUUCCAAGUGCCACUAAACCAUAUUUCUAACACACUAGUUCUCUCUCUCUCUCUAACUUUCUCUCUCUAGCACAUGAUAUGAAUGAAUGCUCCUCUAGAACCCUUCCCCUCCUUAGUCCAGACUUAUAAAACACUCCUCCUCCACCUUAUUUAUACCUAUGGACUUAACCCACAUCCUAAACCUAAAUUCGACCGAAAACUACAAUAUCUAAGAAAAUGUAACAUCCCAAGAUUCAGGUACAACUAUUCAAUCCUCCUUCUUUCCUCUUAUUGUCAAGUUUAGCCCUUUUGAGAAAUUAUGUGGCAAAUGAGUACGCUGGGCGUACUCAUGCACUUAUUUUGGACGCGGAGUCGCCAAGGUACGCUGGGCGUACCUAGAGUUACGCCGGGCGUACCUGGCACAGGUGCAAAAACCCUAAUCUGUCUUGUGCACUAUUUAAAGGGUGCUAAGGCUCAUUUCUCAGCCUCCAUAUCAGUGAGUGAAACCCUAAGAGAGAGCCUCCCAUCUUCCUUAGUGUGUGUGAGUGUUGUUGGAGUUAAUUGUGUAAUGGUGACUUAGUGAAGAAGAAGGAAAUGAGCUCUUGGAAGCUAAAGCUUGAAGUGCCAAUUUGGAUCUGAGAUCUACAGAGAAAGGGGCUACACUUAGAGGUAUAAAUUUCAAAACUUUCCUCUUCUUUUGGUUGUUGUUGCAUGUGCCAUUUUUAGGGUUAAAAACCCCAAAGGUGGAGACUUUAUGAGUGUAAGGUGCUCCAUGGUCCGAGAUCUGUCCCUUUUCAGUGGUAUUAGUGGUUUAGAUCCAUAAAGUUUCCAUCUUGGUUGUUAGUUUGAGGUCAUGCUUGAGUAAUAAGCCUUCUAGAGUUAGAGAAUGGAAUAUUAUGGGAGUUGGUGACUUGUUCAGCCAUGCAAAGGCUUAAAGUCAUCAACUUUAUGGAUUAAGAGGCUUAGAUAUGGUCUGAUCUAGAAGUUGGGCGUGGGUCUUAAUUGUUUAAGACCUCAAGAGCUAAGGAGCUGAAGCAGGGGAGUACGUCAGGCGUAAUCCCAGUACGCGCCGCGUACUGGGUGGCGUUCUCCGAUUCUGAGAGGCAGCCGGGUACGCUCAGCGUACACAUUUGGUACACGCAGCGUAACCUGGAAAGUUGACUUUUGGUUGAGUUUUAGGGUAUGGUCUAUUGUGGGGCCUUUUAAGUUAUGAGAGGGGUAAAAUGGUCUUUUACCCUUCUGAGAGUGUCAUAAGAGGACAUAGUCUAGCCUUUGAGAUUUAUAUUAAAUAGGGUAUUUAUUUCAUUUGAUUAGGUGGAGGCCAGGCCAGCGUUUACUGAGUCAGAGAUUUAACGAGAUACUAGAGGUGAGUCUUCUCACUAUACUUUACCUAGAGUGGUAACAGGGUUAUGUGACAGUAUAUUUUAGAGCUAUGUGCCAAUGUAUUUGCAUGUUAUUUAUGUGUUAUAAUUGUUGUGAUAUGUGAUAUGCAUGAUUCAGAGCUUACAGAGCUAGGACCGGUGGGUCCAUAGAGUUAGGACCUUUGGGUCUACAGAGUUAGGGCCAGAGGGCCCACAGAGAGUUGGGACUAGAGGGUCCCACUGAGACACAUUGACUAGCGGGUCAAACAGAGUUAUAGCCUCGAGUGGCUAAAUUGCGUUAGAGUGGUAUUUUGGGGAACUCACUAAGCUUUAUGCUUACAGUGUUACAUGUUAUGUGUUUCAGGUACCAGUGACGACCGUGGGAAGGCGCCGACAUGAUUCAUACACACACACAUGGGAUUUUAUGUAUUUCGAUCUUGGGGAAUGUUUUGUGAAACAAGGAUAUGAUACAAUGACAUUUUAUUAAUAAAUGUGUUUGGAAAAUGUGUUUUGAAAAUGCGAACCUCCUCCAUGGUCUACUGAAAGGCAUUGAUUACCGGGAGUUGAACAAGCUGACGGUCAAGAACCGUUACCCGUUGCCGAGGAUCGACGAUUUGUUCGAUCAGUUGCAGGGAGCAUCUUGGUUCUCCAAGAUUGAUUUGAGGUCUGGGUAUCAUCAGGUGAGGGUGCGAGAUGAGGACAUCCAGAAGACAGCGUUCAGGACUCGUUAUGGGCAUUACGAGUUUGUGGUGAUGCCUUUCGGACUCACCAAUGCACCGGCGGUGUUCAUGGAUCUCAUGAACAGGGUGUUCAGGCCGAUGUUGGAUCACUCGAUGAUCGUAUUCAUCAACGACAUUUUGGUGUAUUCGAGAUCCAAAGAGCAGCAUGAGGAGCAUUUGAGGGAGAUCCUUGGAGUUCUGAGAUCGGAGAGGCUUUAUGCCAAAUUCUCCAAGUGUGAUUUCUGGUUGCGAGAGGUCCAGUUCCUAGGGCACCUCCUUAACCAGAAAGGGAUAUUGGUCGAUCCGGCCAAGAUUGAUGCAGUGAUGAGUUGGGAGGUACCGAGGUCACCCACCGAGAUCAGGUGUUUCUUAGGGCUGGCAGGCUAUUACCGGAGAUUCAUCAGGGAUUUCUCCAAGAUCGCCGUGCCACUCACCAGGUUGACCCGGAAGGGUGUUGCUUUUUCAUGGGGCCCAGAGCAGCAGGCCUCCUUCGAGACACUUCGCCAGAGACUGUGCGAAGCCCCAGUUUUAGCCCUUCUGGAGGGGAUGGAUGACUUUGUGGUGUAUUGUGAUACGUCGAUAUCAGGGUUGGGAGCGGUGCUGAUGCAGAGAGGGAACGUGAUAGCAUACACAUCGAGGUAGCUGAAGCCUCAUGAGACGAGGUAUCCCACCCACGAUCUAGAGUUGGGGGCAGUGGUGUUCACCCUCAAGAUCUGGCGUCACUAUCUGUAUGGGGUUCGGUGUACCAUAUACACGGACCACAAGAGCUUGAAGUACUUGAUGGAUCAGCCCAACCUGAAUAUGCCACAGAGGAGAUGGAUGGAUGUGGUAAAGGAUUAUGACUACGAGAUCCUAUACCACCCGGGUAAGGCUAAUGUUGUAGCCGAUGCACUUAGCCGAAGGGCGGAGAGCGCCCCAAUGCGAGAUGUUUGUUUGAGAUUGACAGUGAUGACUUCGAUGUUGGACACCAUUCGUGGGGCCCAGGCUGAGGCCAUGAGAUCAGAAAACCAGAAGAGAGAACGAGUUGUCAGGUUGGUAUCGGAGUUCGUUACCAAUAGUCGGGGGCUUAUAACAUUCUAGGGUCGGAUCUGGGUACCGUUUGUGGGCGGUACGCACACCAUUUUGAUGGAAGAGGCUCUUCGAUCGAAGUUCUUGAUCCAUCCUGGGGCCACUAAGAUGCAUUUUGACCUGAAGAGGGAGUAUUGGUGGCCCUGUAUGAAGAGGGAUGUCGCGUGGUUUCUUGAGAGGUGCUUAGCCUGUCGUAGGUUAAGGCCGAGCACCAGAGACCGCAUGGUAAGUUGCAGCCAUUGGAGGUUCCCGAGUGGAAGUGGGAACAGAUUACCAUGGAUUUUAUCACCAAAUUGCCAAGGACUGCUAGGGGAGUCGAUGCAAUUUGGGUGAUUGUGGACAUGUUGACGAAGAGCGCCCACUUCCUUGCUAUCAGUGAGAGCUCUUCCGCUGAACGGUUGGCAGAGUGUAUGUGAGAGAGGUGGUAUCGCGACAUGGAGUACCGAUCUCGAUCGUAUCAGAUCGAGAUGUGCGUUUCACUUCCAGAUUCUGGAAGAAAUUUCAUGAGGAAUUGGGUACGAGGCUGCAUUUUAGUACCGCAUACCACCCAUAGACUAACGGGCAGAGCGAGCGGACGAUUCAGACGCUCGAGGACAUGCUUCGGGCAUGUGUAUUGGACUUCGGAGGGACUUGGGACACGUAUCUACCCUUGGCAGAGUUUUCCUAUAACAACAGCCAUCAUUUGAGCAUCGGUAUGCCGCCCUUUGAGCUGUUGUAUGGGAGAAGAUGUCAGACUCCCAUUUGCUAGGGAGAGGUAGGGCAACGUGUGAUGGGUAGUACAGAGAUAGUACUUCAGACGACUGAGCAGAUUCAGCAGGUCAGACAGAGGUUGUUGACCGCUCAGAGUCACCAGAAGAGUUAUGCGAAUAGGCGUUGGUCCGAGCUUGGCUUUUAGGUCGGAGAUUUGUGCUCCUGAAGGUAUCUCCUUGGAAAUGAGUGAUCCGUUUCAGGAAGAGAGGCAAGCUAGGGCCCCAUUAUAUUGGUCCGUUUAGAGUGAUCACGAGGGUGGGCAGGGUAGCAUAUCGUUUGGAGCUACCUGAGUAGUUGAGCCAGAUUCACGACACCUUCCAUGUGUCCCAGCUGAGAAAGUGUAUGGCCGACGAGUCGGAAGUGGUGCCUCUGGAGGAAAUUCAGGUGGAUGCGAGCCUGAAUUAUGCUGAAAGGCCAAUCGCGAUGGUGGACCGCAGGAUCAAGGUUUUGAGAAACAAGGAGGUGCCCCUGGUUCAUAUUCAGUGGCAACACCGGAGGGGGUCCGAGCUAACUUGGGAGACAGAGUCAGAGAUGCGGGAGCAACAUCCGGAGUUAUUUGCAGUAUGAGACUUCGUGGGCGAAGUCUGGUUCUAGUGGGGGAGAAUUGUAACAUCCCAAGAUUCAGGCACAACUACUCAAUCCUCCUUCUUUCCUCUUGUUGUCAAGUUUAUUGUUAGGUUUUAUACAAACAAUCCUAUGUGUGCAUGCAACCCUAGUUGGAUCUAUGUUUUCACUAUAAGACAUACAACUUUAUGAACACAAAAUAAAACCCUGGCAUGCUUCUAUAAUUUUCGAAAAUCACAUAGAAGUGUAGUAAACAUACCUUUGUUGUUAUAUAGCAAUAACAACUAGUUUCCUUGAUCUCUUGAAUUCUCUUGAACUCUUGAAAGCAAGCACCACAAUUGUAGUGCCUCUAAUGGCUCACAAACACCUUGAAGCAAGAAGGCAACAAAGAGAGAGAAGGGAAUGAUGCUAAUUUCGGCCCUAGGGUUUCCUUGGAAUCAAGUCGCCUCAAAUUGAAGCAUAGGGCAUGUAUUUAUACUAUAGGGUGCUAGGGUUUCAGUCAAAACCCUAAUGGACAGCUUAGCCACCAAGCAGCCCAAGGAGCCUUAUGGAAUGAGGCCUUUGGACGAAAAUAUGAUGAUCCUUCAUCAUAAUUUCGUUCCCCCUUAGUCCAUUAGGUUUCCUAGCCCAAAACUCAACUAUCACACAUUUGACAGUUUAUACCCUUUUAUUUAAUUAAUCUCUUUUAGUCACCAAAUUAAUUCCUAAUUAAUUUAUGACUAAUACUAAUUAAAUAAAUAUGAUUUCUCCUUUAAUAUAUUAUUCUUAUAAUAUAUUAAUAAAUCAUAAUAUCUCCUCUCUCAUAUCAAAUUACCUUGUCAAGUUGCUUUGGUGAAGGCAACCCAAAAGGACCAUGCACACUCGGGUCAAGUAUAUACCAAAUAUGGUUACUGACUUAGACACUAAUCCAACAGUCUCCCACUUGGAUAAGUCUAGUAACUAUAUCUCACGUAUAACUUCCGUACCCGAUAGCAAUCGUAGCUUUCAAUAGCCGCUGUCAACUCUGACCAAUAAUCUGUCCUUUAGAUAAGGGAUCGUAUAAUCCUCUGUUCUAGAUAUCAUGCUAACAAUACUUAUUGUCUAGCAUUCUAUUUCUUGAUUUCUGAUUUGUUCGACAUAGAACUCAGUUGAACACAUCAACUUUAUCCUGACCGGGCCCGGCACAUAAGUCAAACCAAAUCAUCAAGUGGCCGAGAUAUCGCUUUUAUCCUCAUAGAAUAAAAGGAACAGAAAACGUUGACUAAUAUGCCUUUAUCAUUUACUAGUUAAACCACACACAAUAAUACGUUUUAUAACAUCAAGUUACUGAUGCGUUUUCGCAUUAUCAAUGUAUAAUCAACUAGCAAACAAUAACCAUAUCUCUAGGUUUAAAGAUUAUAUGAUAUUAUCAUCUUGCGAUCACUUGUGAUAACAUUCAUGAAGUAAUACCAGCAAGUGUGGGUCUAUUUCAAUGCUCAAUACAAAUUUCAUAAGCACUCAUAAACUUUGCAGCAAACCUUUGCUAUGUCUAAAACUUUUCAGACAAUCUACAAACAAAUUUAUGACAAUCUUCCUUCAUAUCUACUUCCAACAUAUGAGCGAUUGUGAACUGUUCGAAUAAUCUUAUUAUUCAGGAAGUCAAAACAUGCAAAAUCGACACAAUAGAUAAAUAAUCAACACAAGAUAGAAACUUUCUUAUAAAUAACACACCUUUAUUUAAUCAUCAUUUGUUGAAUAUGACAUUAUCUAUUACAAGUUUUCUACCUAUCUAAUCUAAACUAAUAUCGUCCUUCAGCCCUACGCUCCUAGCGUGCUGCAAAUGCUUGACCCUACUCAGUCCCUUUGUAAGGGGAUCUGCUGGGUUAUCUUCUGACGAUACCCUCUUCACAACGAGGAGUCCCUCUUCUACCCGAUGUCUAAUAAAGUGGUAUUUCCUGUCGAUAUGUCGAGAUCUGCCAUGAUCCCUUGGUUCCUUGGUUAAGGCAACCGCUCCUUCAUUAUCACAGAAAAUUUCCACGGGCUCUUUUAUGGAUGGCACAACUCCAAGGUCUCCAAUGAAGUUCUUCAACCAUAUAGCCUCCUUUGACGCUUCGCUCGCCGCAAUAUACUCUGAUUCGCACGUUGAAUCAGCUACGGUCUCUUGCUUGGAACUUUUCCAAGUCACUGCUCCUCCAUUUAGGGUAAAGACCCAGCCUGACUGCGAUCGGAAGUUAUCCCGAUCCGUCUGAAAACUAGCAUCACUGUACCCUCGUACCCUUAAGUCAUCACUCCCACCGAGGACUAGAAACCAUUCCUUGGUCCUCCGAAGGUACUUAAGAAUAUUCUUAACUGCAAUCCAAUGUGCUCUACCAGGAUUCCCUUGAUAUCUGCUGACCAUGCUUAAAGCGAAGGCCACAUCAGGGCGAGUACAAGUCAUAGCGUACAUGAUAGAGCCUACUGCGGAAGCGUAAGGUACUCGGCUCAUAUCAGCUAUCUCUGUCUCUGUACUCGGGCUCUGAGUCUUACUCAGCUUGGUAUUGCUUUGGAUUGGCAACUCCCCUUUCUUGGAAUUUUCCAUACUAAAACGCUUUAGUACCUUUUCCAAGUAUGUAUCCUGACUGAGUCCUAUCAGUCUCUUUUCCCUGUUUCUUACUAUUCUUAUUCCCAGAAUAUAAGCGGCUUCUCCGAGGUCCUUCAUAGCGAAGCAUUUCCCAAGCCAGGACUUGACUUCCUGCAAGGUUGGGAUAUCGUUUCCUAUGAGUAGUAUGUCGUCGACAUACAAUACGAGGAAGCUUACUAUACUCCCACUGGCUUUGACAUACACACAAGAUUCAUCUUCGCUUCGCAGAAAGCCAAACUCUUUAACCUUCUCGUCAAAACAAAGAUUCCAUCUGCGAGAUGCUUGUUUCAAUCCAUAAAUAGAUUUCUCAAGCUUGCAUACUCUAUUCGGAUGCUUCACAUCGACAAAACCCUCUGGCUGAUUCAUGUAGACAUCCUCAGCCAACUUUCCAUUAAGGAAAGCGGUUUUCACGUCCAUCUGCCAUAUUUCAUAAUCAUGAAACGCAGCUAUGGCAAGCAUCACCCUAAUAGACUUUAUCUUCGCAACUGGUGAGAAGGUCUCAUCAUAGUCAACUCCGGGAGUUUGAGUAAAGCCCUUCGCAACCAAUCGCGCUUUAUAAGUAUGCACUUUCCCAUCCAUGUCCGUCUUCUUCUUGAAGAUCCACUUGCACCCGACUGUCUUACGACCCGGUACAUUAUCAACCAAAUUCCAAACUUGGUUGUCGUACAUGGACUGAAUCUCGCUGUCCAUAGCCUCUUUCCAUUUUGCAGACUCCGGGCCUGCCAUGGCUUCCUUAUAGCUGCUAGGUUCAUCCAAAUUUACUAGUGUACUAUCACUAAUAAAUGUAUCCCCUUCAGUAGUAAUAUGAAAACCAUAAAACUGGGGUGGAACGCUAGCCCUAGUGGAACGUCGAAGAGGUAGGGACACGUCAACAGGUUCAACAGGAGUUUCCUCCUCAAGUUGAGUGCCAGUGUCAGAGGUUCCUUCAUCGCUUUGAUCUUGAAUUUCUUCAAGUUCAAUUUGCCUCCCACUGUCUUCUUGGCCUAUCAAUUCCCUUUCUCGGAAAACUCCUCUUCUAGCAACGAAGACAACAUUGUCACUCGGUCUAUAGAAAAGGUAGCCAAAAGACUUCUGCGGAUAGCCGAUGAAAUAACACUUCUCACUACGAGGUUCUAGUUUGUCGUGAGUCUCUCGUCUUACGAAAGCCUCACAACCCCAAACCUUGAUAUGUGCCAACGAGGGAGCCUUCCCUGUCCACAUCUCGUGAGGAGUCUUGGAAACCUUCUUAGUGGGAACUAAGUUAAGUAUAUGGGCGGCAGUCUCUAAGGCAUACCCCCAGAAAGCUAUUGGUAACGAAGUCCGACUCAUCAUAGAACGAACCAUGUCCAACAAGGUCCGAUUACGUCUCUCAGCCACACCAUUCAAUUGUGGCGUUCUCGGAGGCGUCAAUUGCGAAACGAUUCCGCAUUCUUUUAGAUAGUCGUGAAACUCAAGACUUAGGUACUCUCCUCCUCGGUCUGACCGAAGCAUCUUGAUUUUCCUGCCCAGCUGAUUCUCCACUUCAUUCUUAAACUCUUUGAACUUUUCAAAGGUUUCCGACUUUUGCUUGAUCAAGUAGAUAUAUCCAUAUCUGCUAUAAUCAUCUGUAAAAGUCACGUAGAAGCGGCAAGCAUCCCUUGUGGUGGAUCUAAAGGGCCCACACACAUCGGUGUGUAUGAGAUCCAAUAAACCCUCACCCCUUUCACAAGUGCCAGUAAAGGGUGACUUGGUCAUCUUCCCAAGUAAACAAGACUCACACGUGUCAUCGUCCCUAAGGUCGAAUGACUCCAACACUCCAUCCUUUUGGAGUUGGGCUAUGCGUUUCUUGUUGACAUGGCCAAGGCGACAAUGCCACAAGCAUGCUUUGUCUAGACUAGUAGACGAAUCAAUAUUCAAAACAUUAUUUCCAAAAUUAUCAACAAUCAUCACUGAUUCAUAAAUCCCAUUACAAGGUAAUGCAUUGAAAUAAAAGACACCAUUCAAAUAAACAUUAAUAGAACCAUUACUAUUAUCAAAAGAAUAUCUGAAACCUUGUCUAAACAACCCAUGAAAAGAAAUAAUGUUUCUUGCCAUAUCUGGCGAAUAACAGCAAUUCUCUAAAUCUAUUCCUAACCCAUUACUUAACACUAAAGAAUAAACACCGACUUUGGUCACAGGCGAAGAUCUUCUGUUUCCCAUAAUCAGGUUCAUCUUCCCAUGCUCCAUCUCCCUACUUCUUUUUAGGCCCUGCAAAUCAGAACAAAUGUGGUAACCACAUCCUGUAUCAAGAACCCAUGAAGUAGCAAAUGAUGAGUUAUUAGAUUUAAUAGAAUACAUACCUGCAAAUGUGGGCUUGAUCUUCCCAUCUCUUAUGUCCUGCAGAUAUUGUGGGCAGCUUCGCUUCCAGUGGCCCUUUUGGUGGCAGUAGAAGCACUCUGCUUCUUUAGGGUCGGAAGAGGGUUUAAUGGGGCCUGCUUUGGUCCCACUUGAGGAUGAACCAUCACGGGGUUUCCCCUUAUGGUGGCUCUUACAUGGAGCCUUCCUCUUUUUACCCUUUCCUUGACCUAUCGCCAUCACAGGAGCGGCCACAGCAGGUGACGGUGCAACGGAUUUGUCUUUGAGGUUGCUCUCAGCAGUCCUCAAGAGUCCUUGGAGCUUGCUCAAGGAGACCUCCUCUUUGUUCAUAUGGUAGGUCAUCCUAAACUGAUUGUAGCAGGAGGGCAAGGAGUGGAGGAUUAUGUCGAUAGCCAAAUCCUCAUCAAACUUAACAUUAAGUUUGAGAAGACGAUCAACAUACCUCUGCAUUUUCUGCAAAUGAGAGGUUAGGGAUUCUCCACUCCCCAUCUUAGCGGUGAUCAUGUUAGUAAUGAUCUCAUAGCGCUCUUGCCUCGCGCUCUGGUGAUACCUGUCCAGCAAAUCCUGAUGCAUUUCAUAUGGAUACAUGUCCUCAUAGGACUUUUGGAGUUCGAGGUUCAUGGUGGCCAGCAUGAUGCAGUGAACUUUCGUGGCAUCACGCUCGUGGGCCUCAAAGGCGGCCAGUUCCUCAGGAGUAGCAACAUCUGGGAUGAUCUUCUCAAGCUUUUCAUCGAGGACAUAUUCUUUGUCCUCGUAGCGUGUGAUCAUGCGAAUGUAUCUCAUCCACUCGUUGAAGUUUGAACCAUCAAAUGUCACUUUCUGACACAAGUUCAUCAACGAGAAUGACCCAGAAGCGUUGUUGUUGUUGUUGUUAGCAGACAUCUGAAAAAGAAAGGGACAAAGCUUGAUUAGAAAUGAAUCCCUAAUUAAACACCCAAAUGAGAAAUUAGGGCUAGGAUCCAACAACAUUAUUUACAACUUAGAAAGGGAUGCCGUACUCUAAAAGUAAAUAACUUGAAGGUAAGUGAAUGACGAUUCACUAAUUCUCACCAUGAAAAACGAAAAAGCAAUUUAGGUUUUAAAUGUAUUGAAAACUCCUAGAUCUUUGAGAUUCAUUGAACUUUUCAAUGGCAUGUUUAAAUCUCGAUAUGCAUUUCACAUUUGCGACUGGGAUGCCGAGGAUCGCAAACAAAUUUGUGAAUAACCAUGCGAAUUAACGUGGUGCACUCAACGUCACUAUCACCUAAUCAAUGUGCCGGUAAACCACACACGCUCCAUUGAUCUAUGACAAACAUCGAGUCACCCUUCGCUACCUAUGUCAUCCCCAAAUUGAUGUGCCGGUUAACCACACGCGCUCCAUCAACGUUUGACAAGGGUACGAAGUGUAAUUCCAUGGAUUAGCAUCAUUUUCACAUUUUACCCUAAAGUAACUAAGAGUGGGAAUUUGUAAAACAAUGUAGUUACUUUAAUAUUUCCAUUAUACUUUUAAUGAGGAAUUAAGUGCCCUAUCCUAUCCGUUCGGCUAACGACCCUCCACCAGUCAAGCAAGCGGUAGAUGUGAGUGUACAUCCAUUAAGCGCCAUUUUAUAGGCAGCAACCUUAUACCCACCUUAUAGACCGGCUUCGUGAAUGAGGCCUACUAGCGAUAAGACUAGCUUAUUCUUAUACAUAUAUAAUAAUUAAUCUUAUAAUAUCAUAAUUGUAUAAGGGUGUAUUUUAAAGCAUUUCAAAAUACUAGUAUCUUAAUGUGUAUUUAAAAUUUUCGAAUAUUAAGGCUAUUUAAUUUAAAAAUUUUAAACACCAAGAAAACUUUGAUUUAAUAAUUAUCAAAAUUAAACAAUUAAUUUGAACUAUUAAAUCUUUAAGGUUUAUCAUAAAAUUAAAUUAUUAAUUUAAUUAAUCCUUUUAUCCCCUAGAUUUUUAAAUAUAUGGAAAGGAUAAUACAAGAUCUUCAAUUAUCUAGUUUAAACAAUUAAAUGGAUAAUCAUAAAGAUAGCAAUAUCCAAAUCCCUAAAAUCUUGGGAUCUUAUCUUGGGGGGCAAGGGAAUUUCGAAAUCCCUAGGGUUUCUUAACCCUAAUUUCGAAAUUUGGAGGCUAGGCAAAAAGAGUUUAAGAACCCUAUUAAAAAAAAAUCGCCAACUAGGGUUUUGCAACCCUAAUUUGCGAAAAUCACCAAGCCUUAGGGUUUACUUGCCAUAAACCCUAAUUUGUCAAAUUCAUAAUAUGCAUCAAAUCCAAUUGAAAACAAAAAACCAAUGGCUCUGAUACCACUGUUAGGUUUUAUACAAACAAUCCUAUGUGUGCAUGCAACCCUAGUUGGAUCUAUGUUUUCACUAUAAGACAUACAACUUUAUGAACACAAAAUAAAACCCUAGCAUGCUUCUAUAAUUUUCGAAAAUCACAUAGAAGUGUAGUAAACAUACCUUUGUUGUUAUAUAGCAAUAACAACUAGUUUCCUUGAUCUCUUGAAUUCUCUUGAACUCUUGAAAGCAAGCACCACAAUUGUAGUGCCUCUAAUGGCUCACAAACACCUUGAAGCAAGAAGGCAACAAAGAGAGAGAAGGGAAUGAUGCUAAUUUCGGCCCUAGGGUUUCCUUGGAAUCAAGUGGCCUCAAAUUGAAGCAUAGGGCAUGUAUUUAUACUAUAGGGUGCUAGGGUUUCAGUCAAAACCCUAAUGGACAGCUUAGCCACCAAGCAGCCCAAGGAGCCUUAUGGAAUGAGGCCUUUGGACGAAAAUAUGAUGAUCCUUCAUCAUAAUUUCGUUCCCCCUUAGUCCAUUAGGUUUCCUAGCCCAAAACUCAACUAUCACACAUUUGACAGUUUAUACCCUUUUAUUUAAUUAAUCUCUUUUAAUCACCAAAUUAAUUCCUAAUUAAUUUAUGACUAAUACUAAUUAAAUAAAUAUGAUUUCUCCUUUAAUAUAUUAUUCUUAUAAUAUAUUAAUAAAUCAUAAUAUCUCCUCUCUCAUAUCAAAUUACCUUGUCAAGUUGCUUUGGUGAAGGCAACCCAAAAGGACCAUGCACACUCGGGUCAAGUAUAUACCAAAUAUGGUUACUGACUUAAACACUAAUCCAACAUUUAUCCCUUUUGAGGAAUUAUGUGGCAAAUGAGUAGGUUGAGCGUACUCGGGAGUACGUUGGGCAUACUCAUGCGCUUAUUUUGGACGCGGAGUCACCAAGGUACGCUGGGCGUACCCAGAUUUACGUCGGGCGUACCCGGCACAGGUGCAAAAACCCUAAUCUGUCUUGUGCACUAUUUAAAGGGUUCUAAGGCUCAUUUUUCAGCCUCCAUAUCAGUGAGUGAAACCCUAAGAGAGAGCCUCCCAUCGUCCUUAGUGUGUGUGAGUGUUGUUUGAGCUAAUUGUGCAUUAGUGACUUAGUGAAGAAGAAGGAAAGGAGCUCUUGGAAGCUAAAGCUUGAAGUGCCAAUUUGGAUCUGAGAUCUACAGAGAAAGGGGCUACACUUAGAGGUAUAAAGUUCAAAACUUUCCUCUUCUUUUGGUUGUUGUUGCAUGUGCCAUUUUUAGGGUUAAAAACCCCAAAGGUGGAGACUUUAUGAGUGUAAGGUGCUCCAUAGUCCGAGAUCUGUCCCUUUUCAGUGGUAUUAGUGGUUUAGAUCCAUAAAGUUUCCAUCUUGGUUGAUAGUUUGAGGUCAUGCUUGAUUAAUAAGCCUUCUAGAGUUAGAGAAUGGAAUAUUAUGGGAGUUGGUGACUUGUUCAGCCAUGCAAAGGCUUAAAGUCAUCAACUUUAUGGAUUAAGAGGCUUAGAUGUGAUCAGAAUUAGAAGUUGGGCGUGGGUCUUAACUGUUUAAGACCUCAAGAGCUAAGGGGCUGAAGCAGGGGAGUACGUCGGGCGUAAUCCCAGUACGUGCCGCGUACUGGGUGGCGUUCCCCGAUUCUGAGAGGCAGUCGAGUACACUCAGCGUAUACAUUUGGUACGCGCAACGUAACCUGAAAAGUUGACUUUUGAUUGACUUUUGGGGUAUGGUCUAUUGUGGGGCCUUUUAAGUUAUGAGAGGGGUAAAAUGGUCUUUUACCCUUCUGAGAGUGUCAUAAGAGGACAUAGUCUAGCCUUUGAGAGUUAUAUUAAAUAGGGUAUUUAUUUCAUAUGAUUAGGCGGAGGCUAGGCCAGCGUUUACCGAGUCAGAGAUUUACCGAGAUACCAGAGGUGAGUCUUCUCACUAUACUUUACCUAGAGUGGUAACAGGGUUAUGUGACAGUAUAUUUUAGAGCUAUGUUCCAAUGUAUUUGCAUGCUAUUUAUGUGUUAUAAUUGUUGUGAUAUGUGAUAUGCAUGAUUCAGAGCUUACAGAGCUAGGACCAGUGGGUCCAUAGAGUUAGGACGUUUGGGUCCACAGAGUCAAGGCCAGAGGGCCCACAGAGAGUUGGGACUAGAGGGUCCCACUGAGACACAUUGACCAGCGGGUCAAACAGAUUUAUAACCUCGAGUGGCUAAAAUGCGUUAGAGUGGUAUUUUGGGGAACUCACUAAGCUUUAUGCUUACAGUGUUACGUGUUAUGUGUUUCAGGUACCAGUGACGACCGCGGGAAGGCACCGGCAUGAUUCGUACACACACACAUGGGAUUUUAUGUAUUUCGAUCUUGGGGAAUGUUUUGUGAAACAAGGAUAUGAUACAAUGACAUUUUAUUAAUAAAUGUGUUUUGAAAAUGCGAAAAAUUGUUUUAAUUUUACGGUGUUACAGAAAAUCAAAGUAUAAACCAUAUUUUUGACCCAACAAAACAAUUUAAAAAGUAUGAAGAUCAAGAAGAAAAGUUCAAAACUUCCAAAUAUUGAAGAAUCAAGAUAAAGAAAGUGAAGAAUUAGAAAACAUUACCAAAAAGCCAAAGGCGUAUUAUUCAUAGUUGUAAUUUUUCUUUCUAGGUUAUUUUAUCAUAUGUAUUCUUGGGAACUUAGCAAAAAUACAUUGAGGUUAAUAAAGUCUUUUGAGGAUGUAUUCAGAGGGAUGCAUAAAAUGAAUGUUCUUCAAAAUAAAGGGGAAACGUUUAUGAGGAUUGUGAGUAUUUAGGGCUUGGGAAGUAGUUACAUUUUAGACCCAAAUACAUGCAUUGAGGUGAUGCGUAAUUAUCGAGUUUAAUUUAGAUUGUUUUGUAUGAUGUUGGUAGGCAAUGUUCUAUGUGAUGUAAUAAACUAAGUUUUGCUUGAGGGCAAGCAAAAGGUAAGUGUGAGGUAUUUUGAUAUUGUCAUAUUUAUAAAUAUUUUUAUGAGUUAUUUCAUUAUAUUUUAAUGGUUUCUUGUUCUAAAUACAAGGACUUUUGGUACUUAUUUGCAUAAAUGAUAUAUUUCAGUUAGAAGGCUUUUUUGAAGAAAAGGGACUAAAAUGGAAAAAAACUAGAAUUUGGAGGGUGAAAUUUGCAAAUAAAAAAUACAUAUGCCUCAGAAGCGUGUCUCAAGGCGAUAACCACAGUGUAGUAAACUUUGGCCCACGACGUGGCGUUUGGAAGAUUCCCGAUUAGAGUAUAUUGUCUUUCCUAUGACGAUAAGGAAACAGAUACCAUGGCGUGGCAAGCAAUUGGGCACGACGUGGUGGCUAAUUUAUGGCAAUUUUUCCUUCUGUAUAAAGGAUGAACUAGAAGACCAUAGUAACGAGAAAUUUUAGAGAGAUUAUUUCUAAGAAACCCUAAAAGACCUGAUUUCGACCGGGAAAGAAGAGAGAAGAAGACUAAUUAGCAAGAAAUCGAUUCAAGCAUUCAGUUUGCAUGAUGCUUAGCUUAAUAUUCUAUUUGAUUAGUCAUUUUUCUAUUAUAAUCAUGGGCUACUACCCUUAGCUUUCAUUUAGUGAAGAUGAACCUCAAUUUACUAUGAUUUAAUAUUAGAUCUAUGGAUUAUUAAUGUUGGUUUUUACUUGUGUUUGCUAGAUCAAUCCUUGCAUGUUAAUGUUUCUAUCUCUAUUGCCUUGCCUUUAAGUUUUGUGUAGUUAACUGGGCAUUGAUUGCAUGAAUUUAUACUCCUAAUAGUUUAUGACCAUUAAAUUGCUAGAGACAGAGAUUGACCAUGUCCUAGUAUAGGUAAUAAAGUUAGUUGCUUAAUUGCGUUAGAGAGCAUUAUUUGACCACAGUUAUCGCUAGUUUGUCCGAAUUAACCAUACGAAGACAAACCUAGAUAUAGUCAUUCAUAGUCCAAACAUUAAAUAAAAUCGAUUAAGUAUCCUUAGUCUACAUGAUCAUUAUGAUUAAGUGUCAUAAUAUGAAGUAAGCUAAUUAGUCUGACCAUGACAGUGAGUGAUAAGUAACCAAUAGAAGUAAUCCAUAGUCGAAAUUACUCAUAGGAAAGGAAGGGGAUCCAAAGCUAAACGAAAUUAUUUUAAUUCUCUAGUUAAAACUCAUUUUUAGUUGUUUUCUAGUUAAUUGUUAAUUAAGUUUUUCUGAGCUUGCAAAAUCAUAUAAAAAUAUUAUUUCAUUAGUUUUUAUUUUAAUAACUAGAUUAACAUUUAGCAAUUUUAAUUUCCAAAAUGACUCCAUUCCCUAUCUCCGAUCCAGUACUUACUUUACUACACUACUAUGUGACUAGGUACACUGCCUAAUUUGUGUUUUAGUUUAGUUAAAGAGACAAGGGUUAUAAAUUUAAAGCUUUAUAACUGAUAGUAUAAAACACAUCACUAGCCCACCCAGGUUACGCAUGCCAAAUGGUUUAUCCAUGCCAUGGGCUUAUUAGGACAUCCCUACUAUCCCGCGACCAAUUGUGUCUAACCCACUACGAUCCCCUUCAUUGUCAAGCUAUUCAGCGACUCGACCGUAUGAAAACAACUAGACAAACAAUGCCCAUUUGUCUAGGUCGCCCCUUUUUGAAUCUAACGACAGGCUAAUCUAGUGAAAGGUCUUUGUGUUCUCUGUCAACAUGGUCACGGGAUAUUUGGCCCGUGACACUCAGCUGCCUUCUCUAACGUCUCCUGAUGCCGACUUUAUCGAAGCAUUAGUUCUUCCCUAUUGUUGUUGCAUCUAGUUCUAACCACUAAAUUUGUCGCCACUGCCGUUGUAACAUCCUAUUUCGAGGUAAUCUUUAAUUAAAGGCUCAUAUGGUAAUUGAGCAAGUGAAGGCCCCGGUUCUCAAAGGAUUGAGUUUGGACCUUAAGGAAUGAAAAGUUGAAAAACUUUUAGCUUUGGUUCCCCGAGAGACUGUAGGUCAUUUAAUAUGGAACCAAAACUAAUAAAAUUAUUGCCUAAGUUGAAGUACAAACCAUAAACUACACGCUCGAAAAGAUCUCAUGUCUAUCUAACUUCAAACGAAUGAGUUUUGCAAACGUUUCACAUAUUACACAUAAAAGCUUAAAAGCUUAAAAACUUUCAACUUUGAUACUCUGACUCCGGGUGAGUAUAACUCAUUCAAUAUGGAACCAAAAUGAUGAAAGUAUAGUCUAAAUUGAGGUACAAACUUUUAAGUACAUGCUCGAAAAGAUCUCAUGUAAAUUGGACUUCAAACAAAUGACUUAUACAAUUUUUAAAAGUUUUAUAGAUUACAUAUAAAACUGAAAUACUGAAANNNNNNNNNNNNNNNNNNNNNNNNNNNNNNNNNNNNNNNNNNNNNNNNNNNNNNNNNNNNNNNNNNNNNNNNNNNNNNNNNNNNNNNNNNNNNNNNNNNNNNNNNNNNNNNNNNNNNNNNNNNNNNNNNNNNNNNNNNNNNNNNNNNNNNNNNNNNNNNNNNNNNNNNNNNNNNNNNNNNNNNNNNNNNNNNNNNNNNNNNNNNNNNNNNNNNNNNNNNNNNNNNNNNNNNNNNNNNNNNNNNNNNNNNNNNNNNNNNNNNNNNNNNNNNNNNNNNNNNNNNNNNNNNNNNNNNNNNNNNNNNNNNNNNNNNNNNNNNNNNNNNNNNNNNNNNNNNNNNNNNNNNNNNNNNNNNNNNNNNNNNNNUAUAUAUUGAUUCGGUUCUACUAAAUCCAUUUUCCGAGUUCUGGGUCCAUUCAGGUCGGGUUUAGAACGGUUUCACCCCUAUUUAACCCUAUUCUUGAAUCUUUUUGAAGGAAAUGGAGGGAAAAAAGAGGAAUGAAAGAAAAUAUUAGUAACUUUUUAUUUUCUUUCCUUCCUUUCUUUCUUUUUCAUUUCUCUCAAUUUCCUACCUAAUCAUCAAAAAAUGGAAGGAAAUAAAUCUUAAAAAAAUAUGUCCUUUCUUUUCUUCCAUUUCAUUUCAUUCCUUUUCUUUUCUUAAAUGAAACUCGAGAAUAUCAUUUCAUUCCUUUCACUCCUUAAAAAAGCUCAAGAUCACCUCUUGUAUUUCUCUUCCCUUCCUUAAAAAACGAACAUUUCUUCCUCCCAUUUCAUCCCUUGAAAAAACUUGAGAGUAGUGCAUUAGUAAAACCCAACAACUAAGUUUCUUUUAAAAUGGUAGUAAAACACUUAAUUGAACUUUAAGAUGUGAAAAAUAAAAAGAUAUAUAAUUAUAAUUCACAAUUUGAAUCAUUUUACUUCAAACCAAGAAAAGGACUAAAAAGUUUUGUUGAAGUCUUAAUUUACCAUAAGGGUUAUUGACAUUAUAAGACAUCAAAGUUUUUCGUUUGGUUUUAAAUGAUCAUUUAAUUUUUUUUUGGACCUGUUAGAUUAUUAUACUCAAAAAUUACCCGUCUUAAAUGCCAUUUAUCUAAAAUUUUCCAGGUUUCCCCGGUUACAUUACAUAUAUGUAUAUUGACUUAUGAUAGUCAAAGAGUCACCAUACAAUUUCUUCUGAGAUUUUUUGCAUCGUGUUUCCAACAAUCUUGUCAUCUUCAUUAAUGAUCAGCAGUGAUAGUAGUGGAUGUUGAUUCACCCCUGGAGUAAAUGAAGAUUUCCUAACUCUCCACCUUGAUUGAGGCGGCAUGCCACCAUACCCAUCUGAAAAUCUCUGUUCUUGAACAUGAUUUCCAUCGCUAUUGUUGCUUUGACCAGAGUUUUUAAGCUUUAAAGCAUCCAGAGUUUUAACACAAUGUUGAAUCCUUUUCACCUGAACAUUUGAUGAAUUAGAAAUCUUUAAAAACUGAAAUCAAAUGUUUCUCCUUCUGUAACUUUACAUCACCAUAACUGUAACUUCAUCUAGUUUAAUCAGUUGAUUCAUUAAUAAGUCGAGUUUUAGAAGAAAUUAGUUAACUUAUUUACUAAAUGUGGCUUCAGAAUUGAUAUUGCUUUCAUGGCAAAUUGACCCGUAUUUGAACCGAAUUUGAAUGGUUGGUGGAGGAAUACAGUUCGUUUUAACAUUCGGGUCUCGCUUUUGAGCCUGCAUUCUUCCUGGUCGGACCUCACAUUCCUUUUCAUCUCCGACGCCGGGAACGGAGCCCCCGUUUAUGGAAGUCAUCUCCGGUGCUCUGUUCCUCACACUCACCAUCUUGAAUAUGCUCUUUGUUACCCAAUUUAACUUCUUACUAUAUGUAAAACUCAUAUUCAUAUACUAGUAGCAGUUGAAAUUCAACUAAUUUGUCGACAAAAUUUCCAAAAACGCUCAGACCAAUUAGCAACUGUUACCGAGGAUGAAAAUCUCAGCCGGACUUGCUGGUAAUCACCAGAAAAUCAUGAAUCUAGUCGGUAAAGACUGAAUUUUUCGCAAUAUUGAAAGGAAAUUCUAGAUUUUCAAAAAGAGCUUGAAAAUGGAAAACAAAAUCCAAUUGAAAAAUUAGUAAAACCUUCCAAAAAUGUUUAACCUUUUAUAAACGUUUCUCCGAUAUACCACUGCAAAAACUGAUGUAGAUCGAAUGAAAAAGUAGAGAGUUUUGUAGGUUUUAUCCCUCUCCCUCUCUUUAUUAUUUGGAAGAGGGGGGUGUUUGACUUAUCUUUUGAGAGACAAAAAGGAUUUUUAAAAAAAGAUAGAAGAGAAAAGAUGUUUGGUAAAAAUAUUUUAAAAGCUACUUUUUAGAUUUUGAUAUAAGGAAAACUGACUUUUUGGAAAAGUCAGGAAAUCCUGUCUUUUUGUAACUUUUUCCAAAAAUCCUUUUGGCCUCUCAAAAGAUAUAACAAACACCCCCGAAUACUAAAGCUAGGUAGAGAGUGAUAAAAGGCAACAUAAGUCAAACGAAACCAAAACAAAUUAAAUGGUUAUUUAAAACCAAACGAAAAACUUUGAUGUAUUGUUAUGGAAAUAACCCUUACCGUAAUUUCGUAAAGUUUUCUUUUCUUGUAAGUUCAUUGUGGUAUGAGUUCUUUAUUUGAUAAUUUUACAACUUACUACUAUAACAAAUCAGGUAAAUAAAUGUCAUGUUACAUGAUUAUGAUUCAAAGUUUCUCUUUAGGUUUUUGUUGUAAAAGUGAUUAGAUCUCGUUAAAUCUUACAUUUUUUAUAUUAAGAUUCAUUGACUCAAAUAAUACAAUGAAAAAUGAUGAUGAUAUAAACAACCAAAACCCUACGUGUGGUUCGGUGGACGGAAUAUCUUGAUCCUUAAACCACAAGCAUAACCUUUUUCAUAAUCACGACUCGUUAGAAAUCUCGUAGGGAUCUUCAUUCAACUUUAAGUAAAAUCGACCGAGACGUUCUGAAGCCUUCUUGACCUAUAAUAGGCAAAACAUGAUCUCCAUUUUGAAAAAUAUUAAAAAUCUAAACAAGACGCCAAAUCAGAUUAAUUUUUCCCAAAUCAGAUUCAUUUUUCCCAAAUUUACCUGAUCAUCCCAAUCUGUUCUCCAAAUCAAAUAUAUGAUUGUAAUUGUUUGUGUUAUAACACCACCAAUUAGUCCAAUCCAUAUACCCUGCAUGUCAAGUAAUGAAGUAAUAUGAAUUUGUGGUUAACAUCGUUUUUAUGAAACGAAAUAUCUCUAUUGUCUUCAAAAUAACUAACAAUCUUAUUAUAUUAUGUUAAUAGAUAAUGAACUAUUGUUUUAUGCUUUCCAUAAGUGUACAAUAUACAAUGUAUGUUGUUAAGUUUUAGAUUUGUUAUGAAUUUUGUCAAGACUUUAAUUUCAUUAUGAAUUUGGUACAAAAUGGUUUUUUUACAAAUCUAUACAAAAUUAGAUUCGUUUUCUACAAAAUUAUAACUUUCUUACACUUUUAUAUAUUUUUUCUUAAAACUAUUUUACUACCUUUUAAACCUUUUUUGCACCUUUUAUUAAAAAAAAAUGUUAACAAAAUUUUAAAACUUUUUUACAACCUUUUAUUAUUUUUAGCGCAUUUUUUAAACUUUAAAUAAAAUUAAAUGUUGUUACACUUUCAUACAAUGUUCUUUUACAAUUUUUUCCUAUUUUCCACUUUUUUGUGUUUUUACUUAUGUUUGCUUAACAAACUAGACCAAAAGUGUAAAAUAAAAUAUUGAGUUGCUAUACUCGGUAUAACACGUGGAAAACAUAGCAAAAUAAUUCAUUACUUUUGAUGUAAUAAAAAAUAUGUUUGAUGGUCAUUUGAAGACAAUAAAUCAAUAAUCGCUAAUUCAUUUUUCAAAAAACAAUGUUAACCCUACAAACUUAUCAUACAAAAUAUCGACGAUAAAAGAUCUUUCAGCUAUUCGACAAAUUAAGAUAGAUAUUAAUUGCAUGUACCUUAACUUCAAGAGUCGUCGUAUACCCAAGUAAAGCUCCCAACGGAAUUCCGAUCAGGUAAUAACAAACGAAGUUCACGACUGCUACAGCUCCUUGCAUUCCAGCUCCAACUGCCACCCCUGAUAACAAACAAUAACACUAACUUGUAAACUUUCCCAAAAUAGAAAGCUUCAAAUCUUGAAAUUUAAAGUCCAAUUAUGGUGAACACUAAGUUGUAAGCCUCUGUUUGUGCGUUAAUACGUACCUUUGUAAACAUUAACCUUUAAACUUUACAAUAAUAGAAAUGAACAAGAAUCUUUCAUAUCAAAAUUGUGCACGCUACACGCUAACCCUAUACACUUAAUUUCUGGAAAUAGAAAUAAAGACGAUAUAUUUCAAGUCUCUAUUUAGAAAGCGUAAACGCAUUAACAGUUUAUUGAAAUCUAUAGAAGUUAAUGGACUGAUGCAUUAUUAUUCCAUUAAUUUUUCGUUCCAUUUUUCACAUGUUUUUAUUCUUAGGAUAUAUUACACUCUACAAAAGUUUAAUGUAAUUAUAUUUUAAUAGAAUCACUUAUUGUUAAUCAUUUUAGAUAAAGAAAAGCAUUCAUUUUUCCAAAUGAAUAGUUUGAUUGUCAUUAAAGAGUUCAAUAUCCACUUUAUCCAACAUCAACAUGACACCCCACUAGUAUGGUUGAGGCUAACAUAUUGAGUGUUAACUAGAUAUUUCAUCUUAGUUCAAACAUUUCAUUAAACUACGUAUUAUGGAUGCUCUAAGCAUGGUGAACUUACAUUUAUGUCUAAACUUUUCUAAAAUAUAAAUAUUACCAAAUGAGAAGAUAUUGCUACCUGAUAGUACUGGAUAUACACUGUUCAACAAUACCGAAAAAGAAAGAAGAAAAGAGAGAUCCGAUAUUGCAUCUGCAACCCUGACAUCGCUUGUAAACAAGUAUGCAAGUUUUUUUCCAAACGUCAAACAAAGAAUGAAGAAGAAUAAGCCAAUGGUAAUGGAAGUCCCCAACAAGACUUUUAUUGUAAACUUCACUGCUUUAGCGUUUCCUCUUCCUAAUUCAUUCGCCACCCGAACACUGUAUAAAUGUUUAAAUUUCAAUAUGACACGUAUCAGUCACAUACCAAAGUUUAAUUAAUACACAGAAAAUUCUUAAGAAAUCAACGAUCACCUACCAUGCUGAACCUAAGAAACCGAGGUUUAUCAUCAACUCCCAUACGUUAAUAUUCAGGCUGUGAAAAUUGUUGCCAAUUAAGGAGAUUGGUUUUCUAGCAAAAUGAGUGGAAAAAGGAGGAAUAUGAUCAAAAAAAUUGAUACCAAAUAGAGAAGGCUGCUAUUGCGACCUCGGCAUCUUCCAUGUAUCCAGCAAGUAAGACCAGAAAAGCAUUGUACCAUAACUCUAAGCUACACAUUGUUUAAAUCACAGUUUAACUUUUCAUGUGACAAAAAUCACUUCAAUCGUAAUAGAAUUCAUGUGCUUUUGUGGAAAUGACUUUUUAUGCAUGGUUAAACCAAAUAGUUUUUAUACCACUGUUUGACUUUUCGGAUUGAUUGUAACAAAAAUACUUACCAGACCAUCACACCAGAGGAUAUUGAGAGCUUCACAACUGGUAACAGAUCCUUAAAAGCAGCAACUGUGAAUCCUUUCCAUGAAUGCGGACACCAUCCCCCAAAAAUGUAGAUGAAUUCGCCAAUCACAAGGAACCAAGAUGAAAACGACAGUGCAAGCAUGGCACCUGAGAGCCCCAUGUUCAACUUAUAUAUAAAAAGUAGCGACAAAGGUAUAUGGAUCGUGAAUUGGAAAAUUGAAAUCCAUGCGAUGAUCAUGUUCUUUGACUGUGCUUGCAGAUACAUUUGUAUAGUUAAGCUGAAAACGAAGUUGUAUACAAAAGGGAUGAACCAUAAGGAUAUGUAUCCACCACUGUUUGCUAUUGAUUCUUCCUCGCCAACAAGCUUAAAGAUUUGUGUACCAAAGAUGAAGACUGGGAGCAAGAUGGUCAAAGUAAUCAAGUCCACAAUCCAUGAUCGUUGCAAGUAAAUACCCAUCAUAUGGUUUUGUCCGGCUCCAAAUGCUUGUCCACAAAGGGUUUCGGUUGCACUCGACAUUCCCAACUGUGGAUAUGAUAUAUAUACAUUUUAAUUAGAACGAAAAUGGUCGAUUCAAGGGAUUUUUGGUUUGUAGAAAGCUUAGAAUCAUCAUGAGUCAUGACUGGUGGCUUUUGUUAAUGAUAACCAAACAAUUAUGGUCAACUUACAAGUAUUCCAUUGACAAACCGAACACUAAGUGCUUGAACAAGUGCAUAACCAGCAAGAUCUGUUUCGCUGAUAUGUCCGAUGAAUGACUGAGUGACAACAAUAGUUCCAAAAGCGCAAACCCUUGCUAUAAUACCAGGCAAGGCGACCCUCCAUAUCUUUUUUGAUUCGACCCAUAUCCUUCGUUUCAAGUCACUAUCAUCUUCUUGUCCCUGUUGAAUAAGCUUUGUUUGCAUCUCGUCAUCCAUCCUGAGAACUUGGAAGUUAUGAGCAUAUAGAAUAACGUGUUAAAAUUUCAGUUUUCCUGGAAAAAAGAUUGAUGUUCUGGUAGAUUAGUGAAUAGUAGAAACCGGACUAUAUGACAGGCUUAAAUCAUAAAAAAAAAAAUCUGAUUAGCAAGUUAAUUUAGUUAAAAAUUUAUGGCAAUAACCUUUGUUGAGACUUUAGAUGUGUAAUAAAAAUGCAACUUUUGUUAUACUUUCAAUUUAUAUAUUUUGUUAUAAUUGUUUAUCUAACUAUAUCAAUAGUUGAAAAUUGGUAGGUGUUCAACCGACAAGCGCACAAUUAAAGGACGCGGAGAAAUAUAAAGAAGACAAGAGAUCAGUUUAGUAUUAAUCUUGGGGGUUUAAGUUUACAAUUACAUUCAGAUACAAACGAAAUUAUGUAUAGACGAUGUGGGAUGCUAACAUAGUAUCACCAUUAGUUUGUUAUUUAUAUUCUUCUCCUUCACCAUUUUUGAUGUGCGGCACCCUUUAUGCCAUCCACAAACAACCAUUAUCCACAACUCAACAAUCCCCCCUUAGAGGAUUACCAACAAAUCAAUCUCAAAGGGACAACUGAAGCUUAACACGAAUUCUAAAAACAAAAAAAAUAUCUCACUUGGAGGUUGAUCAAAAAAUCAACUUCUAUCCAAAUCAUGUACCUCUCACAAACCUCAUCUUCUAUUAAGUCAACACCUUCUCAUAGUCAUAUAGAAGGCCAAUUAAAUUUCAGCACAACUUCAACUUUUGUGGUGUCACCACCUUGGUAAACGUAUCUACUCCAUUCUUUGUACCAAGGAUUUUUUACAAGGAUAACGAUACCAUCAUUAAUAAGCUCUUUGAUGCAGUGGUAUCUCAUCUAAAUGUGUUUAUUCCUUCCAUUAAAUAUAUGGAUUCAUUGUGAGAUGAAUUGCACUUUGAUUGUCAGAACACAAAAUGACUUAAAAUCCCAACGAAGUUUCCAAACCAUUUAAAAAACCUCAAUCAUGUUUUGUCUGUUCAAAAAAACCGAACGAACUUAACAUUUUGUCUAAAAAGUCCAACAAAGUUCCAAACCAUUCAAAAAUUUCCAAUUUUGUUUUGUUUAAGUUCAUUGGGUUUUUUUUUUUGAACAGUCAAAACAUGAUUAAAGUUUUUUAAACGUUUUGGAAACGUCGUUGGUCUAACAAGUCAUUUUCCCGAUACGGUAAUAAGCCACGUCUUCUGUUUCUCUUAUUUGACUUUCAGGAAAGUGUAACUUAGUUAGGCCUUUUAGACAAAAGGUUAAGUUCGUUGGGUUUUUUUUGAACUGAAAAAAAUGAUUGGAGCUUUUUAAGCGGUUUGGAAACUUCGUUGGGCUCGUACGUCAUUUUCCCAUUGUCAAAAUAAAGAAUACAACAUAUCACCCUAUUGCAUGCCAACUUUGAUAAGUAGUUCUUUAACCAGAUAAGCUCCUUUUCAUCCUCAAUGGUCAUGUAUUCAACUUUUAUGGUUGAAAGAGAAACACUAAAUGAAGUCUAGGCAUCUAACUAACUAAUGUACCCCGAUAGUGGACUAGUGGACACAUAACUUGUAGAACUUGUAGUGUUGUUUAUUAAAUCUGAACAUCGAACCAAGUAUGCAUUGAUUAAUCCUUCAAAGAUAACCCCUUUUAUUUAGAAACAUAUGGCAACCUUAGAAGUAUGUUUCAAGUAAGGUUUUGAAAACCGGACCCGAACCGGCCUUCUGGUUCGAUGGUUCAGGUGGUCCAACCGGUUGGACCGGUCUUAACAACUGGAAAACCGGAUGAUGUUAUAAUUAUAUUUAAUUAUAUAAAAAAAAUACAGAAAAUGAAAAAAAAAAAAAUUUUAAAAUUUCCAGUUUUGAACGGUUUUUACCGGUUCGCAUGAAUACACGUUUUUUGGCAUUUAAGAACGGAUUCGGGACCGGUUCCCGGUUGAACCGGUCAAAUCGGGCGGUCCGAUUUUCAAAACAUGGGUUUCAAGUAACAUAACAACCAUUUGAUUACUUCCUAAUGCUCUUUUACCAUAUUGAAUAUAAACCUUCUCACGACUCCCACUACAUGAGCAAUGUUUGGCCUCAUGCAAACCAUAACAUAAAUCAAGGUGCUUGCUUCCCAUGCAUAAGGAAUCCAAGCUCUCUUUAUUGCCUUCACCUAUUUGUGGUGAUUGUUUUUUCGAAGUUCAAUGUGACCUUCCAAACAUGUACUUCUGCCUUUUGCAUUUGUCAUGUUGAAUUGCUACAACAUUUUCCUGAUGUACUUCUCCUAGGAAAGUUUUAUAGUACAUGUAACUUUAUCUCUUUAUAUGCUCAUGCCAAGUAUUCAUUUUGACUAAAUUGUUAUACAAAAUUGUUUUUAAUGCUCGCGUAUGAAACGAUGAAAUUGUAACUCUUAUGUGAUAAACACUGUGAACAAUGUCAUUCAUACGCUUAUGAUUCAUGUUCAUCUUCCACUUACAUACCAUGUCAAAUCCCUUCACAUCACUACCUACAUUCUUAAUUAUUUAUUUAUCUUCCACCUCGAUCCAAAAUUUCGCUAUUUACUGUUAUUAUUUCCAAGUCACCAUCAUAUCCUAACUUUGCAUAUUUGGGUUCUUGUAUUAUCAAUGCCUCAUCGUGCUACAAAAAAUUACCCCAUUACACAACUUUAUGCAUUUCUUUCAGGUACAUGUAUGAUGUGUGUGGGUGUUUUUUUUUUGUUGCUUUAAUAUCUCUAUUAAAAAUCAUCAUCACAUAACAUGUUGCAUUGGAUAAGACCAUAUUCCCAUUCGAUUCUAAUAUUUUUACUCCUCCAUGCGAUAUAAUUUUCUUGACAGUUUGUAUGCUCCCUCAUUGAUCUUGCAUGGCGUUCUUGAUUUCAUUCCUAUCAAGACUACUACCACUGGCACCUUUUUAUGUGUUGCGUGUACUAUCAAAACCUCAUCAUCUAAUAUAAACUUCCCCAUACACAACUCUAUGCAUUUCUCUUAGUUACAUGUCCCAUGGGUGGGCUUUUCUGCCGUAAUAUUUCCACUAAAAAUUAUCAUCAUAUAAUAUAUUGCCUUGAAUAAGGUCAUCUCCCUUCAAUUCCAAGAAUUUGACUAAUCCAUGGCAUACAAUUUUCUUGAUGUUCCUUACACUAUGACAUUGAUCUUGCAUCACUUUCUUGAUUUCAUGCUUUUCAAGACUGCUACCAUGCACACCUUUGACACAUUAUAACCACAACCCUCUAUCCUUCAACCAUAUUGCCAUUCUUGAUUUCAUGCCUAUCAAGACUACUACCACUUACACCUUUUUAUACGUUGUGUGUACUAUCAAGACCUCAUCAUCUAAUAUAACCUCCCACUUACACAACUCUAUGCAUUUCUCUUAGUUACAUGUCCUAUGGGUGGGAUUUUCUGCCGUAAUAUUUCCAUAAAAAUCCAGCGUCAUAUAAUAUAUUGCCUUGAAUAAGGUCAUCUCCCUUCGAUUCCAAGAAUUUGACUAAUCCAUGGCAUAUAAUUUUCUUGAUGUUCCUUGCACACUAUAACCACAACUCUGGUAUUGAUCUUGCAUCACUUUCUUGAUUUCAUGCUUUUCGAGACUACUACUAUGCACACCUUUGACACACUAUAAGCACAACCCUCUAUCCUUCAACCAUAUUCCCCUUCCUCAUGAUAGCAACUGCAUAAUCACCAUAUCAAUGUCACAUUAUUGUUCGUACAAUCAUCUAUAUCAAUGUUAUCCUCUCAUCUAAUGAUGAAGUAUUUUAAACAAUGCAUUGUUAAACCCACUAGAUAAAUUAACCUUCAUACCACUACCUAUUGGUAUAUGACUCUUUUAUAUCUAUAGGCUUUAUAGGAUCCAAAUGUUAAUGCCAUUAAUAAAUACUAUAAUUCUCUGAUUUCUAAUGGAACUUGAAUCCUUAAACCACUACCACUAGUAGUUAAUAUUUCUAAGUAUAUAUGGCUUUAUGAAAAUAAAUUUAGUGAUGAUGGUUUCCUUGCUCUUUAUGAAGCUUGUUUGCUUACUAAUUGAAAAAGUCGGCAUCUAUGGUUUGGCUAUGAUGAGAAGUUUAGCCUAAUUGUAAAAUUCUCUAUAAUUCAUAUAGUUUUUAUCCUUGUGGUUUCAUACUAUUUCCUCGUUCACUAACUAGACCUAAAUAUACUUCACUUCAUAGUCAUCUUCAAAAAAUGAUUUACAAGCAUCAACAUUAGGUUUAUCUUUGGAUAUAAUGUGCAAGAUACACACAAUAUAUCGUCCUUUUAAUUAUAUGUGAAGCUAUAGUGAUUGAUAAUACCUAGAUUUGAAUAAUGUAAUAGGUAGCUCUUGUUUCCAUAUACCAUACAUUAUUUCCCUUAUCAUGUUAAGUCUUGGUGUUUAACAAUUGCAAAAGGGGGGUAGUGUGGCUUGAUUGGAUGGAAUAUAGGGAAGCCAAGUCUCUAAAGGGUGAUGGUUGUUAGGUUUUCACAACUUGGUCCUAAUUUGGUGCUUGUUGGAAGAGGCCUACAAAUAAGGGUGGAUGGGUGAUGGGUUGAAGAUGGUGUUAGGUCUGCAUGUCACAUGGUUGGUAUUGGAUCGAGCAUGGAUUCAACUCUAAAUAGGACUAGACAACUAACUAUAGCGGUGAAAAGAACCCUCAUUGGGGUUAUUCAGCAACAUCCUAUCGUAUGCCCAUGACAAUGUUGUCUGGCUGUUGUAUGGUUAUUGUUGGUGUGUGUGAUAUUCUCUAUGACCACAAUGUUUAUUCUCUAGAAGGUCCCUACGAUUGAAGGACUUUGUGUUAAGCAAGAUAAGGGCGAAAGAGGUUUCUUGAGGGUGUUGUGUUCGUGGUUUUAACAUACUUCUUAAAAGGUUGUAAGCAGGGUUCGAUGAUGUAUAAGGCCCCCACUGUAGUUAAACAUGGAGAAUAACUCGUCGAUCAUGUAUGCGACGAUGUUUCUUCAUGAGUACCAUGGCAACAAUAUUAUCAAGAAGAUAUGUGAUCAUUUUGAUGUAGGUAUAAUAAGCUCUAAUGGAUGAAUCACAUAGUUAUAUAAUUUAAGCAUCUUUGUUGUCGCGUAACAAUGUGUCCAAAUUGAUCAAAACUUCACGGGCCAUUGCAUUCUGGUUUAAAAUCAUUUGAAGAAGGGUUUUAGAAAUUCUCACUUAUAAAUCUAAAAUAUAAACAAUUUUAUUCUAUAUGGGUUCUUCAUGGAUCGCAUCGGGUACAUCACAUAAGGCAUCAAUGUGCUCAAACACACAAUGAGUUUCAAAGAGCUCGCACCAAGCAUCAUAAUUGAGUUAAUCGAGGUCAAGAACAACAUGAACUUAGGCUUUUAUGAUGGCAAUGCCAUACAAAUUCUCUAGGGAGGGGGAACCGUCCUUGGAGAGAGAGAGAGAGAGAGAGAGAGAGAGAGAGAGAGAGAAAGAGAGAUGACUAGGAUUUAGAGGGUUUGCUCUGGUGCCAUAUUGGAUAAGGGAUAAUGUCAUAAAAAGUCUUAAGUUUGGCAGAAAAUGUCGGUUUUACCCUUCGACGGAUUUUUUGUUCAUUUAUGUCGCAAACUUGUCAUUUUUUGUCGGUUUUCCCCUUUUUACCUGUAAUAGUAGGUUUCCAGGUUACCAUGAAUUACUUUUUGCGAAAAAAACCCUUAAGUUUACAAAUAUUUUUCAAAAAAUCCUUAAGAUUAUAAAAGUAUAAAAUAUAAAUAUAUUUUCAAAUUUUGAUAAAACUAAAUGGUUUUUAAAAAUUUAAUUGUCAAAAGUUUAUAUCAAACUAAUAUAAGUUUUAUUGUACUUAUAUUAUGAAACAAAAAUUGAAAGUAUUUUUAGCUUUACGUACAUUAAAUUUUAUAUUGGUUCGAUAUAAACAUUUUAUAUUUAAAUUUUAAAAAAGUAACCUACUUUUAUCAAAAUUUGAAUAUAUUGCUCAAUUUAAAACUUAAACUUUUCAAAGUAAAAUUAAAAAAACGUCUGUUAGGUAAUAUUUAACUAUGAUAAAAUAGUUAAAUAUAUGAAUAAUAUGAUAGUUAAAUUCAAUUAAUUUUGUUAAAGGAAAAUAACAAUAUUUCUAUGUUUAAAAAGUUUGUAUUGCAGAAAUAAUAAUGUAUUAUAUUUUUUGGAUUCGUUGUAUAUAUCCAUAGCUCGUAAAACAAUUUUGGAGGUGAUCAUAGUCACUAUAUGGUGACAUUAUUUCCAUGCAAUUAUUUUUUUAAAGGAUGAUGAAAAUAUUUUAUAUGCUUAAAACUUUUGUAUUUCAUAAAUAAAAAUAUUAACAUAUUAUUUUUUAUAAAAAUAAGUAUACUUGUAUAAGUUAUUAUUUCUAAAACACAAACAUAAACAUUUUAAACAUAUAAAAUAUAAAUAUAUCAAUUUAAUUUAUUGUAUAAAUAUAUUUUGUUUUUAUGAAAAAUAUGAUAUAUUAUUAUUUUUGAAAUACAAACCUUUUAAACAUAUAAAAUAUUUUUAUUUUCAUUUUAAAAAAAAAUUAAUUGAAUUUAAUUAAUGUCAGAAUAUUCAUAUGUUUAACUAUUUUAGCAUAUUUAAUUAUUAGUUAACAUACAUUUUUUAAUUUUGCUUUGAAAAAAUUUAAGUAUUAAUUAAGGAAUAUAUUCAAAUUUUGAUAAAACUAUGUAACUUUUUUAAAAUUUAAAUAUAAAAUGUUUAUGUCGAACCAAUAUAAAAUUUAACGUAGGUAAAGCUAAAAAUAUUUCCAGUUUUGGUUUCAUAAUAUAAGUACAAUAAAACUUAUAUUAGUUUGAUAUAAACUUUUGACAAUUAAAUUUUUAAAACCAUUUAGUUUUAUCGAAUUUUGAAUAUAUAUUUAUAUUCUAUACUUUUAUAAUCUUAAGGGUUUUUUUGCAAAAUAUUUCUAAAACUUAAGGAUUUUUUCAUAAAAAAUAAUUUAUGGUAACCUGUAAACCUGCUAUUAUAGGUAAAAGGGCAAAAUCAACAAAAAAAAAUGAGAAGUUUGCGGCAUAAACGAACCAAAAAUCUAUCGAAAGGUAAAACCAACAUUUUCUGCCAAACUUAAGACUUUUUAUGACAUUAUCCUUAUUGGAUAAUGUAUAUCUAGUAUCUAUCUUAACAUAAGACGGGAUAAAUAUAAAUACAAUGAUGGACUUAUACAAUUAUCAUCUAUAGAAGGCCAAUAAUAUGGGUCUAUACUAUUAUCAUUAUGUUCACAAAUAUUUUCCAUCCAAAUUUCUGUGUUCGUGGUGGUUGUAUUUGUUUUCGAUUAUCAUCAUAUUUAUAAAAGUUAGAUUGAGAGUGUUCUUUGUUCUCUUAACUGCAUAUUUUUUUUUUCCGUGCAAUGUGUCUGUGUAAUUUGGGCUUGUAAACUAGAUAAAGUGAUCGAUCUGUGAUUUGUUUUGAUUUUUGAAGGGAAGGGGAAGGCCGGCAAUAAGGUGGGUAUAAAUUAUGCAAAAUUUAGUGAUUUUAUGCCUUAAUUAACUAUAUGAUUGUUACUAGCUAUAUUUGAUAGAGUUUGAGAUUUUUGUUAAGGGUAAAUGACACAAAAAACCCUCUUUUUACACAGAAAUUCGAUUUUGACACCGUGUUUUUUUUAUGUCAAUUUUGACACUGUGUUUUCCAAUUUGUUGCAAUUCUGACCACUUGAUCGGUUAACCAAGUUGCAUGCUGACGUGUCAGUUUUAAUGACAUGACAUGCUGACGUGUCAAAAUUGAAUUUUUUUCUCACAAAAAACAAUAAGUUUUUUUUUUUUUCGAUUUGGACACUAAGUUUAAUUUUUUUUCAACUUUGACACUAUGUUUUUUUGUUCCAAAUCGAACAUCAUUUUUUCCAAUUUUGUUCAAUGUUGACAAUUUUCUAUUUGAAACCGUAUAAAUAUUUUUUUAAUAUAUUUAAACGUAUAAAUAUGUUUUUUUUCAUUUAAAAACCAUAGUUUUGUAUAAAUACAUUUUUUUUUACACUCAAACCAUAAUUUUAUAUAUAAAUAUGUAUUAGUUAUAUAAAAAUUGUAUUUUAUAUUAAAUAUGCAACUUUAAAAUGUGUUUGAAGGUUUGGAGGCAUGUAGUCGAUCAAAACUCAGAUAUCAAGUUUGCAACCCAUCAAAUUUUUACAUCUUAUUAGAAGCUUAUGGUUAGUUUGAUUCUCAUGAUAUAACUAAUCCUUUGAAUGUAAGAAAAAAAAACAACUUGUAUUUAAAUAAAAAUGUGGUUUUUAAAUGAAAAAAAUAUGUUUAUACGGUUAAAAAUGUAAUAAAAAAUAUAUUUAUACGGUUUCAAAUGGAAAAUAGACAAAAUUGAACAAAAUUUGAUAAAUGAUGUUCCAUUGGAACAAAAAAACAGUGUCAAAAUUGAAAUAAAAAAUUAAACUUAAUGUCAAAAUCGAAAAAAGUGAAAACAUAGUGUUUUUUUUUAAAAAUCAAUUUUGACACGUUAUCAUAUCAUGUCAGCAUGUCAUGUCAUCAAAACUGACACGUCAUCAUGCCACGUCAGCAUGUAACAUGGUUAACCGGUCAAGUGGUCAGAAUUGUAACAAAUUGGUAAAACACAGUGUCAAAAUUGACAAAAAAACACGGUGUCAAAAUCUAAUUUUUGUGUAAAAAGAUUCUUUUUUAUGUCAUUUACCCUUUUGUAAAUGGUUUUUGGUUUAAUAUAUUUUUAAAGCCAUAUAUGUUUGCAGAAUCGGUUUUUGAAUUCAGAUAUUUUUGAAUUAUGUUAUACAAAUGAAGAAACUUAAUAACAUAUUGAUUUACCACAUGAUUUGCAGCCAAAAAUGUUUAUCCCGAUUUAGUUUUUCUAUUUUAUUAUUGUUUGCCCGGACCAUUGGAUCCCACGUUUCCAACUAAUGCACACAGAUUGAUUAUUUUCUUACUGGAGCAUUACCCAAUCCACAAUGGAUAAGAUACAUGUGACAUGUAAGGAUAUAAUUAUAGUUUAGAAUUUGAGAAUUUAGUGUCUUGACAAAAGAAUCCGAAAAAAGUUUAAAGGGUACAACUAAGACCUGUCGAAAAUACCCGUUACCCGAAUUAUCCGUCUGAUUUUUCGGGUAUCAAGUAAAUCGGGAAUCACGUUAAUUUUUUCGGUAUUUCGAUAACCCGAUUUUUUUCAGGUAGAGUAAAGGGUAUGCUUUUUGGGUUCCAAGUAUACACGAAAUAAUGAACGGCCCAAUAUCCUUUAUUCCUUUAUGAGUUUAUCCGUGAUUGAUUCCCAAAUGCCAGCUCCCUCGUUCUAUUUUCUUUAUGGUUUGGUUGUGUAUUUGAUGUUUAACUUUUUUUUUUUUUCAACUUUGGUCCAUAGCAGAUAUAAAAUGACCAUUUUAUCCUCAUCUAUUUGUUUUAGUUUUCUUUUUAUAUUAUUUAUAAUUUAUAAUUUUAUAAAAUUAAAUAUUCUCAUCUACUUCUUUUUCCUAUGUCAAGAUCGGGAUCUUAUAUUUGAUCGUUUUCCACUUUGAAAGAAUGUGAUCGUAAGAUCGAAUCGAAUCAUAAGAUUCUAGCAAAAACAUGUUAAAACUUAAAAAAUACAUUUUAUUCGNNNNNNNNNNNNNNNNNNNNNNNNNNNNNNNNNNNNNNNNNNNNNNNNNNNNNNNNNNNNNNNNNNNNNNNNUAUAUAUAUAUAUAUUCGUUACAUCAUUUAACAACAAACAAUUCAAAAAGUUAUUCGACAUAGUUCAAAAAAAUAUUCGAUAAUAAAAAAAGAAGGGAUAAUAACUUGAGCGGAUAACGAACUAUAUCAUUUGUAUAUAUUUGGUCACUUAAUUUUUUUUGGUAUACUAUUAAUCAUUAAACUUGUUUUUUUGUUUAAAACAUAUCACUAUUACCUGCAAUAGCAGGUAAAACUUAUUGUGGGGGGUUUGAGUUCCAUCUUCGACGACAUUUUCGGCGAAAGCAAGUUCCGACGGCAUCUCCGGUCAUACUUUCCGACCAAACAUGAUUUUCCGGUUACCUUCUCUGGCAAAACAUGUAUUUUCCGGCAAUAGAGUUCUUGAAGGACCUUUUUUUUUCCCAAAAUUCUAUGGGGUUCUAAGAUCUGAAACAUGAACACAUACAUAUUUGGAGCUUCAUAUUUCAAGCUUUUCCGAUAUGGACAAAGAAACCUAAAGAUUUCAAAAAUUAAGCUUCUUUUGGAGAUGAACGAUUUCUGAUUUGGAAAAGCAGUUCUAUUUUUCUCUUUUCCACAGAUUUGAUGAACAACAAAUCUUCAAAAAAGUUUUUUUGGUAAUCCGAUGAACACAAGAUCUAGAACUCAAGAUCUUCGAACUUCAAGAACUCAAUCUCUAUUCUUUCUCUUUCUUUUCUUUUCCAGACCUGAACAACAAAUCUUCUUUCUCUUUCUUCUCUUUUCCAGAUCUGAACAACAAAUAUUCUUUCUCUUUUUCUCUUUUCUAGAGAUCUUAUGAAGAACAAAUCUUCAAACUCGUGUUUUCUGGUAAUCUGAUGAUCACAAUAUUUGGAACUUAAGAUCUUCGAACUUCAAGAACUCGAUUCCAGGAAACCCUUAAACACGAUCUUGAAACCGUAAAUCCACUGAUCUCUUGUGUUCUUGAAAUCGUAAACCCACUAAAAUCAUAAACCCUAUAACACGAACUUUAAGUUCCUACAAUGGUGAGUUCAAUGACUUUUUGAGUUCUAAAAUCGUUUUAAGAAAUGUUCAAGAACACCAUUUUUUAUAUCUGAAGUUUACAGGAUUUUUAAGUUCUAAGACUCUUUCAUAUCUGAUUAAUGGGUUUGUUUCAGAGAAAAAAAAAAAAAAAAAAAAAACAUAGUCGAAAAAUAUGUGAAGUUCUGAAACUCUUUCAUACAUGGCCGGAAACCGGAGAAGAUGAUCGGUAAACACAUAUUUGGCCGGAAACAAUACCGGAAACCGGCAAAACCCACUAUUACUGGUCACACUGGUAUAAUGUACACGUUUCAACAAGUUUAAAGGUUAAUAAAGCACGAAAAAUAAUUUAGUGAUCGAAUAUGACAAAAAACUAAAAUAUGUUAUCCACUCAAGUCAUUAUCCCUAGGAAAAAAAUAGGAACAAUCCUAUGAUCUUACAAUCAAUUCUACAAUCUUUAAAACCAAUCCUACGAUACUAUCUAGGGUCUUGAUAAGAUAGGAAUCAAUUUACCUAGGUUAGAUUUUAGAUGGUACGAUACUACAACAAUCUUACCGAAAAACAAUAUGAUAUUCCCAUUUCUAUCUUCUCCAUCUCUGUUUAGAAGUCUAGAGACAACAACCUCCCAUCUUCCGCGCUCCCCUCUCCGUCUUCAUCCUUUUCUCCCCAGAAAAACUCAAACCACGAAGCCUCCUUAUCUCCGAUUAGAGCUCUCCAUCCUUUACUUGCCAGAGAAAGACAAACUAGGAAGUCAAUGGAAACACUCGAACAAGAGCAUCAACAACAUCACGGUAGUGCUUCAUUUUGAUUCGAUUUAUUGCUCUCUGAGAAGAACUUUUUACAGAAAUUUGGUUUCUCACAUGAACCACAAAUUAGAAAAUUGAUUUCUCCGAUAAGGUGAUGCUUCUCUGAUGGUGGUGGUGGUGCUUCACGGCUUUUGGUUUUCAUUAGUUAUCAAAACACGAUUCAGUAUCAAUUUGUAAGUUUGUUACAUGCGAUUGUAACCAACUUGAAACAAAUUAGUGCAAAGUUAUGGUCUAAAACCUUUUUAGGUUAAUAUGUCCAACAAACGUUAACAUUUCUAGCUUCUAUAAUGGAUGAGAUGAUUUUGGUUUGAUCGGGUAUUUUCAUUUUACCUUUUAGGGUUAAUGGUGACAAGGCAAGAAGAGGAAGUCUCUGAUAGGUGGUCAGAAAAGAUGAUCGGACAGCGGGGUAGGCUCAAAAGGACAACAAAAGAGACAAAGGGUCUGUGUUUAGUCAUGGUGGGUUUCAUCGGUGAUUUUAGAUGAAGGUGGUAUGUCGGUGGAUCUGGUUUCUGUCAUAAUUCUUAUUUUCAGUGAUGGAUGUCGUUUCUGGUGGAGUUUCAAAUAAAUUAGAGAAAAGAGUAUACGACUUUCAGUUCAAAACAGUGGACAUAGUUAAAAAAAAAAAUUAAAAGGACAAAAAAAAGUUAUUUUAUAUUUGUCAAUGACCAAAUAAAAAACAUUAAAAAAAAUAAUAAUA
rnacentral:lncRNA from 1 species